rnacentral:rRNA from 1 species
UACAGAGGGGGCAAGCGUUGUUCGGAAUUACUGGGCGUAAAGGGCGCGUAGGCGGCCUGUUAAGUCGAACGUGAAAUCCCCGGGCUCAACCCGGGAACUGCGUCCGAUACUGGCAGGCUUGAAUUCGGGAGAGGGAUGUGGAAUUCCAGGUGUAGCGGUGAAAUGCGUAGAUAUCUGGAGGAACGCCGGUGGCGAAGGCGGUCACCUGGACGGAUACUGACGCUGAGACGCGAAAGCGUGGGGAGCAAACAGG